rnacentral:rRNA from 1 species
AACGAACGCUGGCGGCAGGCUUAACACAUGCAAGUCGAGCGCCCCGCAAGGGGAGCGGCAGACGGGUGAGUAACGCGUGGGAAUCUACCCAUCUCUACGGAAUAACGCAUGGAAACGUGUGCUAAUACCGUAUACGUCCUUCGGGAGAAAGAUUUAUCGGAGAUGGAUGAGCCCGCGUUGGAUUAGCUAGUUGGUGGGGUAAAGGCCUACCAAGGCGACGAUCCAUUGCUGGUCUGAGAGGAUGAUCAGCCACACUGGGACUGAGACACGGCCCAGACUCCUACGGGAGGCAGCAGUGGGGAAUAUUGGACAAUGGGAGCAAGCCUGAUCCAGCCAUGCCGCGUGAGUGAUGAAGGCCCUAGGGUUGUAAAGCUCUUUCACCGGUGAAGAUAAUGACGGUAACCGGAGAAGAAGCCCCGGCUAACUUCGUGCCAGCCGCCGCUGUAAAAC